rnacentral:misc_RNA from 1 species
UGUAACUUUAGUUUUUUUUUUUUCAAAUUUUAUAUAGUAAUGAUUGCAUUUGCUUGUAAUGAAUGAAUAUCUCAACCUCGAGAAAUUUCAGGGAAUAUCAUAAUACACAGCAUAUGCCAUAGCAUUUUAAACAAAAUAAUAUGCUUUACAAGACAUAAAAAUUCACUUCAUUUUCUUGGCACAACACACAAAAACACAGUUAUGCAAACUUACUUUUUUAUGGGAUUUUCAAAUUUUCAACGUUAGUAUUAGCAUAAUUUAAUUUAAAUUUAUCUUCUAUCAAUUAUUUGAAAAACAACUACAAACAAAGAAUACGAACCUGCAUUGUCCAACAAUGUAAUCUCCCACAUCGAACUCACCAAGUAAAGGUUUAAUGUCUUCACUUCUAUCCAUUGCAAACAGUGGCUUACCAGAUGAUGCUGGUUGACUAUCAUUUCCAUCCAAACAGGAUGGUGCUAAUUUCUCCAUUUCAAUCUUUACAAUAGUGCCAUCCGUCUGGUAAUUCUCGUUAACAAAGCUGGAUUCUUCCUGUUGUUGUUGACCACACAAAAUAGACUGAAGCGUUGAAGUUGUAGUGCCAUAAAUAUUCAAUGGCGAGACCUGCAAACGAUGAGAAGCUAGUCGCUGAUAAAAUGCAAUCAGCUGGCGAGCACGGCUAAGCUGGAGCUGAUAAAUUUCAAUUUGGUCUUCCAAACGAGUGAUAAUUCGGUAACAACCACCAGCGGGGUCCCUAGCACGAGCAUUAGCUUGAUAGAUCAUAGACUUGACGGCGUUCUUCUUCUCAUCGAAAGUAUGCAGUUUCUUAAGAGUUUUCAAGAUGUUGCUUACGCCAAACAGUUUGUGGGCAUUAAGAAAAUCAGAGGAGUGAUUGGAAGGAAAAUGGGGAGCGAGAGGACAAUCGGCUGCACAUCUUUUACGUAAGUAUUUACAUGCAGCACAAGCUUGAGAUCCAGCAGAAGCACCGGCGGUCAUGAUAAUUUAUCGGCGUUUUUGCCCAUAUAUUAUAUAGAAUAUUUCGGCGGUGUAUGGAGAGAAACCAGGACUGAGAGCAUAAAAACAGGGAACCUAGAAGUUAAACCGUAC